rnacentral:rRNA from 1 species
AGUGAAGCGGCAAAAGCUCAAAUUUGAAAUCUGGCGUCUUUGGCGUCCGAGUUGUAAUUUGAAGAAGGUAUCUUUGGGCCCGGCUCUUGUCUAUGUUCCUUGGAACAGGACGUCACAGAGGGUGAGAAUCCCGUGCGAUGAGAUGACCCGGGUCUGUGUAAAGUUCCUUCGACGAGUCGAGUUGUUUGGGAAUGCAGCUCUAAGUGGGUGGUAAAUUCCAUCUAAAGCUAAAUAUUGGCGAGAGACCGAUAGCGAACAAGUACAGUGAUGGAAAGAUGAAAAGAACUUUGAAAAGAGAGUGAAAAAGUACGUGAAAUUGUUGAAAGGGAAGGGCUUGAGAUCAGACUUGGUAUUUUGCAUGCUGCUCUCUCGGGGGCGGCCGCUGCGGUUUACCGGGCCAGCAUCGGUUUGGAGCGGCAGGAUAAUGGCGGAGGAAUGUGGCACGGCUUCUGCUGUGUGUUAUAGCCUCUGACGAUACUGCCAGCCUAGACCGAGGACUGCGGUUUUUACCUAGGAUGUUGGCAUAAUGAUCUUAAGUCGCCCGUCUUGAAA